rnacentral:rRNA from 1 species
GACGAACGCUGGCGGCGUGCUUAACACAAGCAAGUCGAACGGUAAGGCCCUUCGGGGUACACGAGUGGCGAACGGGUGAGUAACACGUAGUGAUCUGCCCUGCACUUUGGGAUAAGCCUGGGAAACUGGGUCUAAUACCGAAUAGGACCAUGGACUUCACGGUUUGUGGUGGAAAGCUUUUGCGGUGUGGGAUGGGCCCGCGGCCUAUCAGCUUGUUGGUGGGGUAAUGGCCUACCAAAGGCGACGACGGGUAGCCGGCCUGAGAGGGUGACCGGCCACACUGGGACUGAGAUACGGCCCAGACUCCUACGGGAGGCAGCAGUGGGGAAUAUUGCACAAUGGGCGCAAGCCUGAUGCAGCGACGCCGCGUGAGGGAUGACGGCCU